CACCGCGGUUAUACGAGUAGACCCAAGUUGACAGACUACGGCGUAAAGAGUGGUUAGGAGAAAAAUAUUAAACUAAAGUCGAAAAUCUUCAAGACUGUAAUACGUUCCCGAAGAUAUGAAGCCCCACCACGAAAGUGACUUUAACCCAAUCUGAAUCCACGAAAGCUGAGGCA
rnacentral:rRNA from 1 species